GACGAACGCUGGCGGCGUGCCUAAUACAUGCAAGUAGAACGCACAGUUUAUACCGUAGCUUGCUACACCAUAAACUGUGAGUUGCGAACGGGUGAGUAACGCGUAGGUAACCUGCCUGGUAGCGGGGGAUAACUAUUGGAAACGAUAGCUAAUACCGCAUAAUAUUGAUUAUUGCACGAUAAUUGAUUGAAAGAUGCUAUUGCAUCACUACCAGAUGGACCUGCGUUGUAUUAGCUAGUAGGUGAGGUAACGGCUCACCUAGGCGACGAUACAUAGCCGACCUGAGAGGGUGGUCAGCCACACUGGGACUGAGACACGGCCCAGACUCCUACGGGAGGCAGCAGUAGGGAAUCUGCGGCAAUGGACGGAAGUCUGACCGAGCAACGCCGCGUGAGUGAAGAAGGUUUUCGGAUCGGAAAGCUCUGUUGUAAGAGAAGAACGGGUGUGGGAGUGGAAAGUUCACACUGUGACGGUAUCUGACCAGAAAGGGACGGCUAACUACGUG
rnacentral:rRNA from 1 species